rnacentral:rRNA from 1 species
GACGAACGCUGGCGGCGUGCUUAACACAUGCAAGUCGAACGAAGUGGCGAACGGGUGAGUAACGCGUACUCAACCUGCCCUUCAGAGGGGGACAACAGUUGGAAACGACUGCUAAUACCGCAUACUGAAUGAGGGGAUUGCGUCUGAUUAGCUAGUCGGAGGGGUAACGGCCCACCAAGGCGAUGAUCAGUAGCGGGUCUGAGAGGAUGAUCGGCAACAUGGGGACUGAGACACGGCCCAGACUCCUACGGGAGGCAGCAGUGGGGAAUAUUGGACAAUGGGGGCAAGCCUGAUGCAGCCAUGCCGCGUGUGUGAAGAAGGCCUUCGGGUUGUAAAGCACUUUCGGCGAGGAGCGUUACUCACAGAAGAAGCACCGGCUAACUCCGUGCCAGCCGCCGCGGUAAUUC